CAAUAGCGUAUAUUAAAGUUGUUGCAGUUAAAAAGCUCGUAGUUGGAUUUCUGGUAGGAGCGACCGUGCCGAACUUGAUUGUUCGUGUAUUGUGUUGUCUUCAGCCAUCCUCGUGGAGAACUUUUCGGGCAUUAAUUUGUCGGGAUUGGGACCCGCGUCGUUUACUGUGAAAAAAUUAGAGUGUUUAAAGCAGGCAAUCGCUUGAAUACAUUAGCAUGGAAUAAUAAGAUAGGACUUUGGUACUAUUUUGUUGGUUUGCAUACCAAAUUAAUGAUCAACAGGAACAGUUUGAGGAUAUUCGUAUGAACAUGUCAGAGGUGAAAUUCUUGGAUUUUGAUCAGACGAACUACUGCGAAAGCAUUUAUCAAGGAUGUCUUCAUUAA
rnacentral:rRNA from 1 species